GACGAACGCUGGCGGCGUGCCUAAUACAUGCAAGUCGAGCGAAGUUUUUCUGGUGCUUGCACUAGAAAAACUUAGCGGCGAACGGGUGAGUAACACGUAAAGAACCUGCCUCAUAGACGGGGACAACUAUUGGAAACGAUAGCUAAUACCGGAUAACAGCAUAAAUCGCAUGAUAUAUGUUUAAAAGUUGGUUUCGGCUAACACUAUGAGAUGGCUUUGCGGUGCAUUAGCUAGUUGGUGGGGUAAAGGCCUACCAAGGCGACGAUGCAUAGCCGACCUGAGAGGGUGAUCGGCCACACUGGGACUGAGACACGGCCCAGACUCCUACGGGAGGCAGCAGUAGGGAAUCUUCCGCAAUGGGCGAAAGCCUGACGGAGCAACGCCGCGUGAGUGAAGAAGGAUUUCGGUUCGUAAAGCUCUGUUGUUAGGGAAGAAUGAUUGUGUAGUAACUAUACACA
rnacentral:rRNA from 1 species